rnacentral:misc_RNA from 1 species
GAUGAAGAACGCAGUGAAAUGCGAUAAGUAAUGCGAAUUGCAGAAUUUCCGUGAGACAUCGAAUCUUUGAACGCACAUUGCGCCCACUGGUAUUCCGGUGGGCAUGCCUGUUCGAGCGUCAUUAUCCUCCCUCAAACCCCGGGUUUGGUGUUGGACCCAAGUUGUGUGAACAACUGGUCUUAAAGACAAUGACGGCGUCCGUUGGACCCUCGGUGCAACGAGCUUUUAGGAGCACGCAUCGAGUUGCAAGGACCUUCCGGGCCGGUCUCCUUUACUAUUUUACAAGGUUGACCUCGGAUCAGGUAGGAAUACCCGCUGAACUUAAGCAUAUCAAUAAGCGGAGGA